AGAGUUUGAUCCUGGCUCAGGACGAACGCUGGCGGCGUGCCUAACACAUGCAAGUCGAGCGGAGACAGUGAGUAGCUUGCUAUGAACUGUUUUAGCGGCGGACGGGUGAGUAACGCGUGAGCAACCUUUCCCAGACAGGGGAAUAACACACCGAAAGGUGUACUAAUACCGCAUAAGACCACGGAAUCACAUGGUUCUGAGGUAAAAGAUUUAUCGGUUUGGGGUGGGCUCGCGUCCGAUUAGGUAGUUGGUGAGGUAACGGCCCACCAAGCCGACGAUCGGUAGCCGACCUGAGAGGGUGAUCGGCCACAUUGGGACUGAGACACGGCCCAAACUCCUACGGGAGGCAGCAGUGGGGAAUAUUGGGCAAUGGGGGGAACCCUGACCCAGCAACGCCGCGUGGAGGAAGAAGGUUUUCGGAUCGUAAACUCCUGUCCUUGGAGACGAGUAGAAGACGGUAUCCAAGGAGGAAGCCCCGGCUAACUACGUGCCAGCAGCCGCGGUAAUACGUAGGGGGCAAGCGUUGUCCGGAAUAAUUGGGCGUAAAGGGCGCGUAGGCGGCUCGGUAAGUCUGGAGUGAAAGUCCUGCUUUUAAGGUGGGAAUUGCUUUGGAUACUGUCGGGCUUGAGUGCAGGAGAGGUUAGUGGAAUUCCCAGUGUAGCGGUGAAAUGCGUAGAGAUUGGGAGGAACACCAGUGGCGAAGGCGACUAACUGGACUGUAACUGACGCUGAGGCGCGAAAGUGUGGGGAGCAAACAGGAUUAGAUACCCUGGUAGUCCACACUGUAAACGAUGAAUGCUAGGUGUAGGGGGUAUCGACCCCUUCUGUGCCGCAGUCAACACAAUAAGCAUUCCGCCUGGGGAGUACGGCCGCAAGGUUGAAACUCAAAGGAAUUGACGGGGGCCCGCAC
rnacentral:rRNA from 1 species